rnacentral:rRNA from 1 species
CCUACGGGAGGCAGCAGUGAGGAAUAUUGGUCAAUGCGCGGGAGCCUGAACCAGCCAAGUCGCGUGAGGGAAGACGGUCCUAUGGAUUGUAAACCUCUUUAGGCGGGGCGCAAUGCCGGGCACGUGUGCCCGGAGGGAGAGUACCCGCAGAAUAAGCAUCGGCUAACUCCGUGCCAGCCGCCGCGGUCAUAAGGAGGAUGCGAGCGUUAUCCGGAUUUAUUGGGUUAACGGGGUGCGUAGGCGGAUUUUUAAGUCAGCGGUAAAAUGUCCGGGCUCAACCCGGGCCGGCCGUUGAAACUGGGGAUCUUGACUGGGCGAGAGGUAUGCGGAAUGCGUGGUGUAGCGGUGAAAUGCAUAGAUA